UGAAAAAUGUCUAGAAAUUCCAGAAAAAUCUCGAAAAAUCAUUUUUAACCUGAGACUUGAUUAUAUAUCGAUUGGGAUGGGAAAACUUAUGUGCAAUGUGUUGUCUGCUGUCUGUGUGAUAUGUUAUAUGUCGAUAGGGAGUUAGAAAACUGUUUUGUUAAUAACUUUUGAUCCGUAAUUCAGAAUCGAGUGAAACGAAAAAGAGAUUAAAGCUUAUAAAGUCUAUUUUAAUGUGACAUAAUAAUAUGGUGGAGUAUAGAAUGUGAAUAAUUGUUGUUAAA
rnacentral:lncRNA from 1 species